GAUUCAUGGCUCAGGAUGAACGCUAGCUACAGGCUUAACACAUGCAAGUCGAGGGGCAGCAUGGUCUUAGCUUGCUAAGGCUGAUGGCGACCGGCGCACGGGUGAGUAACACGUAUCCAACCUGCCGUCUACUCUUGGCCAGCCUUCUGAAAGGAAGAUUAAUCCAGGAUGGGAUCAUGAGUUCACAUGUCCGCAUGAUUAAAGGUAUUUUCCGGUAGACGAUGGGG
rnacentral:rRNA from 1 species